AGUAAAUUCAACGGGUUGUCGUUGUGGUGUGCCGCAAUUGCAUCGGAAAGUUGAUACCAAAUGCUGAUUCCGGUUUGAAUAGUGAUUACCGAACCAAGAUUUCGAUGUUUCUGAGGCCUCUCUCCCGUUUUAACACUUGUUUCCAACUCUAGGUACUUCUUGAAAAAUACUGAGUUUACUAAUGAUCCUCACCAUUCGGUUUUCUGUAGAGCUCCCACUUGCAGGAGCCAAUUUCGGCCAAAAUAUAUCCUUCGCAAAUGGGCAGUGAAAUCGCGUGUUUGGUCGAGAAGAAGAAGAGUGCCAACUAUAGACUUGUUAAUGUUUCACGAACUGUGUUGAUCGUACUAUAACAUUGCUGUAUUUUGCACCCAUUUUGAAUCCAAUUGGGAGGAGUCUCAGAGGCUGUUCUCGUUUGAAGAAAAAAUUAAUCAUAAGAUAAGCUUUAUUGAUCAGGAACUUCAAGAUGUUGAAGCACCUAAAGUACUGGUUGGCCGUUCCAUUGGUUUAUAUAUAUACUAUAUAUCUCUUGACAUACUUACGAGAUGCAUGUAGCAAGAAGGUCUCCAGCUCUGUGUACUGCAACUAGCUUCACCGCGGAAGUCUUGGUCGCCUUCUGCUGUCGAGGCUCUAUGCACACAUGUUCUGGAGGUGCAGUCGUUUGCUUACCUGCCAGAUAAACCAGAUUUGGAAUUCAUCAAGAUCUAGAGAAACCAGAUUGCUUUUCUUUUUGGCCUUGAUAAUCACUGGGGUCCUUUGCAUAUAUAUGAAGAGAUGAGAAAACAGGUACCUGAUGCAUGUCAUAACGGUGAACACGAGGGUCACACACUCAUGCUAAUUUCUCCUGCACUGCAGCUGGUUCGACAUAGGUUGCUUAGCACGUUUCGAAUUUGAUCAGGAACCGCCUACAAUGUAGUUGACGCCGGGUUUGAAUCCUCCUGUUCAAGCUAAAUAUGGUACUGUCUCUUAUUUCUCUGUUUCUCCAACUCCAUCUGGAUGUGAAAGCUGAUGAAGCGGAUUUUUAGACUAAUCAGUAGUAAUUUCUGUUUGCAAUACUUGAGAUACAUCAUUAUGUUGUGCGUUAUGCAUUUGCUGCUAACAACCAUUUUGUCAUUGCUGUAAAUUCUCGGUUGAUUCAGCUGAUUCUACCCAGAAAAAUUAAUUGAAUUCCCCAUCAAACAAAUUAACCAAACCGAUUUAGCUGA